rnacentral:rRNA from 1 species
CAGUGGGGAAUUUUGGACAAUGGGCGAAAGCCUGAUCCAGCAAUGCCGCGUGAGUGAAGAAGGCCUUCGGGUUGUAAAGCUCUUUUGUCAGGGAAGAAACGGUGAGGGCUAAUAUCCCUUGCUAAUGACGGUACCUGAAGAAUAAGCACCGGCUAACUACGUGCCAGCAGCCGCGGUAAUACGUAGGGUGCAAGCGUUAAUCGGAAUUACUGGGCGUAAAGCGUGCGCAGGCGGUUUUGUAAGUCUGAUGUGAAAUCCCCGGGCUCAACCUGGGAAUUGCAUUGGAGACUGCAAGGCUAGAAUCUGGCAGAGGGGGGUAGAAUUCCACGUGUAGCAGUGAAAUGCGUAGAUAUGUGGAGGAACACCGAUGGCGAAGGCAGCCCCCUGGGUCAAGAUUGACGCUCAUGCACGAAAGCGUGGGGAGCAAACAGGAUUAGAUACCCUGGUAGUCCACGCCCUAAACGAUGUCUACUAGUUGUCGGGUCUUAAUUGACUUGGUAACGCAGCUAACGCGUGAAGUAGACCG